AUGCUACUCCCUCCGUUCCGAAUUACUUGUCGCACGUAUGGAUGUAUCUAGAUGUAUUUUAAUUCUAGAUACAUCCAUUUUAACGACGAGUAAUUUGGAAUGGAGGGAGUACUAC
rnacentral:pre_miRNA from 1 species